rnacentral:lncRNA from 13 species
GCACAACAAAGCGGAUUCCACUAAUCAACUCAUCACGGACAAAAACUAAAAAGUGGCUCCAUUUGGGGUAGCAAGGCAACCUGCAGACCCUCACCCCUGGAGGAACAAUGGUCAACACUGCUGCCAUAUCUAAGUAGACAGACAGUAGGGUAACCAUGGUUAAGUAGAGACAGUAGAGCAACCAUGGUUAAGUAGACACAGCGGAUGACAGACCUGAAGUAACACAGUGUUGUGGCAGGGCCUGGCCAGCUCUGCCUUGUGGUACCAAGUGGAGAGGAGAGACAGAGACAAGGCUGAGACCUGGAUCCAGGCCAGGCGGUUCUGUCAGAGGCACUACGUUGACCUUGCUGUCCUAAGCACCCAGGACCAGUACCAGUUCCUUCUGCAGACCAUGGCUGCUGGUGAGAGGGACACCUUCUGGCUGGGUCUGCAGCCCCACACUGCCCCUGGUGGCUGGGGGUGGAAGUGGGUGGAUGGCCAGGGGCUGAGCUAUGAUCGCUGGUAUAUAAAGAGUCCUGGACCUGGACUCUGUGGUUGUCUGGAGACCAGCCUCAAAGGGGAGAAUAAACUACUGUCCAGAUCCUGUGGCGAGACCGUGGAACGACAUGGUUUCAUCUGCCAAGGCGCUGUACCCCCCGAGCGGCUAAAGGCGGAGUCUGAAGGGACUGAUCAUGUGACUGUGCAUUGGGACACGCCCCCUCUGAUGCAGACAGCUGAUCAUAGCUACAGAAUUACCACAUGUAGCUCCCAGCCUCACCCUCAUCUUUCUCUCCUCCACCCUUCUCUCCCUCCUUGCCACACCCCUCCUCUUUUCCUCUGUCCUUUCCCCCACCCCCCUCAUCCCACCACCCCAUGUUGCGUCCUCCACCUCCCCUACUCCAACAGCUCCACCUCCCACUCCACCCGGAUCUCUGGCCUAACCCCGGGAACCCAGUACACCAUCAGCGUUGCCAUAGUGAUCACGCGCCCAGAUCCUGUCACCGGUGACAACGUCACCACCGACAGUGACCCAGUCACGGUGACCGUCACAACAAUAGGGGGCGGUGGUGGGCAGCAGGUGGUUGCCAUGGUACUGAGUGUGGUCAAGUUCAUCUAUCUGGUUGUCUUACUCUGUUUACUUUACCUCAUCCUGAAGAGAAAUGCUGUCCAGGCUCCUGAACUUGAUCUGGAAUCAGUAGAACUCCCCACUGAAGAAGAAUACAUUUUAGACAUGAUUAAAACUGGUCCUACAUCAGUUGAAUUCCCUAAUGAAGAAUGCAUUGUUGAGCUGCCACCUGAAGAAUAA